rnacentral:misc_RNA from 1 species
AAAGUCGUAACAAGGUUUCCGUAGGUGAACCUGCGGAAGGAUCAUUACCUGGCCUAGGCCGCUGCUUGUCGGCGUGCCGCUCGUGCCUACUACCUUGACUAUGCGUACCCUUGUUGUUCCCUCGGCAGUUCGCUGCCGCCAGGGACCCCUAAACCCUCAUGUAUCAGCAGUAAACUUCUGAAACAAACCUAAUUAUUUACAACUUUCAACAAUGGAUCUCUUGGUUCUG